rnacentral:rRNA from 1 species
UGAGGAAUAUUGGUCAAUGGGCGGGAGCCUGAACCAGCCAAGUCGCGUGAGGGAAGACGGUCCUACAGAUUGUAAACCUCUUUUGCCGGGGAGCAACGGGGUCCUUGCGAGGGCCUUAUGAGAGUACCCGGAGAAAAAGCAUCGGCUAACUCCGUGCC